rnacentral:rRNA from 1 species
AUUGAACGCUGGCGGCAUGCCUUACACAUGCAAGUCGAACGGCAGCACGGGAGCAAUCCUGGUGGCGAGUGGCGAACGGGUGAGUAAUAUAUCGGAACGUGCCCAGUAGUGGGGGAUAACUGCUCGAAAGAGCAGCUAAUACCGCAUACGACCUGAGGGUGAAAGGGGGGGAUCGCAAGACCUCUCGCUAUUGGAGCGGCCGAUAGCAGAUUAGCCAGUUGGUGGGGUAAAGGCCUACCAAGGCAACGAUCUGUAGUUGGUCUGAGAGGACGACCAGCCACACUGGGACUGAGACACGGCCCAGACUCGUACGGGAGGCAGCAGUGGGGAAUUUUGGACAAUGGGCGCAAGCCUGAUCCAGCAAUGCCGCGUGCAGGAAGAAGGCCUUCGGGUUGUAAACUGCUUUUGUCAGGGAAGAAAUCCUCUAGGUUAAUACCCUUGGGGGGAUGACGGUACCUGAAGAAUAAGCACCGGCUAACUACGUGCCAGCCGCCGCAGUAACAC